GAUGAACGCUGGCGGCGUGCCUAAUACAUGCGAGUCGAGCGAACAGACGAGGAGCUUGCUCCUCUGACGUUAGCGGCGGACGGGUGAGUAACACGUGGAUAACCUACCUAUAAGACUGGGAUAACUUCGGGAAACCGAAGCUAAUACCGGAUAAUAUAUUGAACCGCAUGGUUCAAUAGUGAAAGACGGUUUUGCUGUCACUUAUAGAUGGAUCCGCGCCGCAUUAGCUAGUUGGUAAGGUAACGGCUUACCAAGGCAACGAUGCGUAGCCGACCUGAGAGGGUGAUCGGCCACACUGGAACUGAGACACGGUCCAGACUCCUACGGGAGGCAGCAGUAGGGAAUCUUCCGCAAUGGGCGAAAGCCUGACGGAGCAACGCCGCGUGAGUGAUGAAGGUCUUCGGAUCGUAAAACUCUGUUAUUAGGGAAGAACAAAUGUGUAAGUAACUAUGCACGUCUUGACGGUACCUAAUCAGAAAGCCACGGCUAACUACGUG
rnacentral:rRNA from 1 species